AGAACGAACGCUGGCGGCGUGGAUAAGACAUGCAAGUCGAACGCGACUUAUCUGGUUAGCAAUAACUAGGUAAGUUGAGUGGCGAAAGGGUGCGUAACACGUGGGAAUUUACCAAGAAGUGGGGAAUAGCUCGACGAAAGUCGAAUUAAUACCGCAUGUGAUCGAAAGAUCAAAGCCGGGGACCGCAAGGCCUGGCGCUUUUUGAGAAGCCCGCGGCCCAUCAGCUAGUUGGCGGGGUAAUGGCUCACCAAGGCGACGAUCGGUAGCUGGUCUGAGAGGAUGACCAGCAUCACUGGGACUGAGACACGGCCCAGACUCCUACGGGAGGCAGCAGUGGGGAAUAUUGGACAAUGGGCGCAAGCCUGAUCCAGCCAUGCCGCGUGGAUGAUGAAGGCCUUAGGGUUGUAAAGUCCUUUUAACGGGGAAGAUAAUGACGGUACCCGUAGAAUAAGCCCGGCUAACUUCGUGCCAGCAGCCGC
rnacentral:rRNA from 1 species